GACGAACGCUGGCGGCGUGCUUAACACAUGCAAGUCGAACGGAAAGGCCUGCUUUCCCUUGUGGAUUGCGGGUACUCGAGUGGCGAACGGCUGAGUAACACGUGAGUGAUCUGCCCCCAACUUGGGUAUAAGCCUGGGAAACUGGGUCUAAUUCCCGAUAGGACUGCAGGGUGGUGCCUGUGGUGGAAAACGAUUUUCUAGUGGUUGGGGAUGAGCUCGCGGCCUAUCAGCUUGUUGGUGGGGUAAUGGCCUACCAAGGCGGCGACGGGUAGCCGGCCUGAGAGCGUGGACGGCCACAUUGGGACUGAGAUACGGCCCAGACUCCUACGGGAGGCAGCAGUGGGGAAUAUUGCACAAUGGGCGGAAGCCUGAUGCAGCGACGCCGCGUGGGGGAUGACGGCCUUCGGGUUGUAAACUCCUUUCGACCGCGAGGAAGCCACCUGGUUGGAAGGGUGGUGACGGUAGUGGUAGAAGAAGCACCGGCUAACUACGUG
rnacentral:rRNA from 1 species